AUUGAACGCUGGCGGCAGGCCUAACACAUGCAAGUCGAACGAGUGGCGGACGGGUGAGUAAUGUCUGGCAAACUGCUCGUUGGCGGGGGCUACCUACUGGAAACGGUAACUAAUCCUGCAUACCAUCGGAUCUGCGCAGAUGGGGUUAGCUAGUAGGUGGGGUAACGGCUCACCUAGGCCACGAUCCCUAGCUGGUCUGAGAGGAUGACCAGCCACACUGGACCUGAGAAACGGUCCAGACUCCUACGGGAGGCAGCAGUGGGGAAUAGUGCACAAUGGGCGCAAGCCUGAUGCAGCCAUGCCGGGUGUAUGAAGAAGGCCUUCGGGUUGUAAAGUACUUUCAGCGGGGAGGCUUUACUCGCAGAAGAAGCACCGGCUAACUCCGUGCCAGCAGCCGCGGUAAUAC
rnacentral:rRNA from 1 species